rnacentral:rRNA from 1 species
AGAGCGGCGGACUGGUGAGUAACGCGUGGGUAAUCUACCUUUGGCAUGGGGAUAGCCACUAGAAAUAGUGGGUAAUACCGAAUACGUUCCCUGGGGGGGAGGUUUCAGGGAAGAAAGGGUGCUACGGCACCGGCCAAAGAUGAGCUCGCGUCCCAUUAGCUAGUUGGUGAGGUAACGGCCCACCAAGGCGAUGAUGGGUAGCCGGCCUGAGAGGGUGUACGGCCACACUGGGACUGAGAUACGGCCCAGACUCCUACGGGAGGCAGCAGCUAAGAAUAUUCCGCAAUGGACGAAAGUCUGACGGAGCGACGCCGCGUGGAUGAUGAAGGCCGAAAGGUUGUAAAGUCCUUUUGCUGGGGAAGAAUAAGUGUGGGAGGGAAUGCCCGCAUGAUGACAUGAACCGGCGAAUAAGCCCCGGCCAACUACGUGCCAGCAGCCGCGGUAACACGUAGGGGGCGAGCGUUGUUCGGAAUUACUGGGCGUAAAGGGCAUGUAGGCGGUCUGGUAAGCCUGGCGUGAAAGGCCACAGCUCAACUGUGGGAUUGCGUUGGGAACUGCUGGGCUUGAGUUAUGGAGAGGGAGCUAGAAUUCCUGGUGUAGGGGUGAAAUCUGUAGAUAUCAGGAAGAAUACCGAUGGCGAAGGCAAGCUCCUGGCCGAUGACUGACGCUGAGGUGCGAAAGUGUGGGGAUCAAACAGGAUUAGAUACCCUGGUAGUCCACACUGUAAACGAUGUGCACUAGGUGCUGGGGCGGUAGCUUCAGUGCCGGAGCGAACGUGGUAAGUGCACCGCCUGGGGAGUAUGCUCGCAAGGGUGAAACUCAAAGGAAUUGACGGGGGCCCGCACAAGCGGUGGAGCAUGUGGUUUAAUUCGAUGGUACGCGAGG